UACGAGGGGGGCAAAUGUUGCUCGGAAUCACUGGGCGUAAAGGGAGCGUAGGCGGGUUUCUAAGUCAGGUGUUUAAUCCCGGGGCCCAACCCCGGACAGGCACUUGAAACUGGGAAUCUUGAAUAGUGGAGAGGUCAGUGGAAUUGGGGGUGUAGCGGUGGAAUGCGUAGAGAUCCCCAAGAACACCAGUUGCGAAGGCGGCUGACUGGACACAUAUUGACGCUGAGGCUCGAAAGCAUGGGGAGCAAACAGG
rnacentral:rRNA from 1 species